GGGGCUGUCGCUCGGUGGUAGAGUGCUUGCCCUGGACGCAUGAGGCACUGCGUUUGAUCCUCAGCACCACA
rnacentral:tRNA from 1 species